UCGGGCUGGUUAUAGGCCUCAGUGCCAAGUAGUAUGAUUGAACCUUCAUGAAGGCCCAAAGGAGAGGCAUUAUAGUCAAGGCAGAUGCAACCUAUAGCAGUAUGCCUACGCCUUCAUAAAAACUCACCUUCAGCUAUUCUUUGCAGACCAUGAUGAUAUCCUCCACACAGAUCUGAUUAUCCUUAAAAAGAAAGUGCCCCAUUUCAUACCUUCCGAAGGUGGUAGUUAAACACAAAAGAGAAAAGAGGGCUCUUAUACAAUAGCUUAGCUGGCAAAG
rnacentral:lncRNA from 1 species